AGUGUGUAAUACGUUGACUGUCACGGGCCUAUAGUUGGUUCUUGUUAGAUUAUUGGUCUUAUAACAAUAUAUAUAAACCCUAAGCAACAAGAAUCAGAGGUACUACAUCGCUUAAUGUUAUCUUACUUUCAGUUUGAGGUUAUUCUUUACUUUAUCCCAAGACCUUAGACAUACCAGAAACAUAGGUUUUGUGACACAGUACCUACUAAGUCAAGAAUGUUGGAGUCAACUUAGGAUUGCAACACUAAAGGAACUAACCUGGAAAGCUCUACUGAUAAGUUGGAUUCAUGAGAUUGCCUCAACUUGUGCACAUUACACACCCCUUCACAAGACCUACAAGUUUAAAGAUCCUCUCUGCCUGGUCCUAUAAGCCCCUAGAUCAUACCAGGGGGAAAACUGUCGGCGAGGUAUGGUGAAAUAUAUGCGCUAGAUUCAUCAUUUGAUCUGUUUAAUAUAUUAUAUUGGAUCUAAUCAUUCUUUUUUUUGUUCUGUUUCUCUGACUCUCCAAUUGAAGAAAAGAUUCUCGCUCCACACUUCAAGAGCAGUGUUGUCUGCACCUCCUCUCACAUGGAUCGACUUUUCCACCUAUAACAAAUCAGUUCUUAAAAGGUAAGAAGUCCUUUGAUAAAAGUAGUUUGAUUGAAGGGAGAAAAUAAAGUGGACUGUCAACAUGCCAGGAUGAUGAAACCAACUUUGCUAUCCAGGCAUGAUUGAGUAAAAUUUUACACCUCCAUCUCAUCUUCAUCUCAUACACAGCCAAGUUAUAAAGACAAACACCAUGUGAAGAGGCCAGAUUUUCCAGGAGUACUUUGUUUGGUGGAUUGCUUAAUUGCAAUCACAUCUUCAGAGGCUUGGACAUAUAGUCUUUCAUAUUAUAAUGGCAUCUUGUCCUCUAACUACACCAUCUCACAUCCACAUCUGAGGAGGUAAAAAAUAGCUCAACCAAGGAAGAUCUUUUGAAGAAAUUACUUAGUUUAGAACACUGGUGAAGGUCUGCAGUACCAUACUGGUUUACAAGCAAUGGUGAGACAUGGACAAGAGGUUCACUUCUAUGGACAUUAUUAGAAUAUUUUCACAUGUUAGUGUGCAAAAUGUGAGCCCUACACAUGGCAGCAUGUCAAUCAUAUUGUCUUUUCGUACAUUUUUUUCAUGACAUCUAUUAUUCAUUCAUUCUAGGUUAUAUGGUUGGACAUAUGUUUCAGUAUUUUUUUUUUUUUUUUGCUAAAGAUUAUGUUUCAGUAUUUGUUAUAUGUGGAUUGGAGGGUCUCAAGUUCUGGCACAGAUAGGCUUAUAGUUUUAUAGCAUGAAAUGGAUUUAUCAUUUAGCCUAUGUAGUUAUCAGGGUUCUUUUAUUUACUGCUGUAUCUGUUCUAAAAGGAGGAGCUCUGCUAAAAUUUGCCUAGAACAAUUAGGCAGAGAAAUAUUCAUGCCUCUGAGGCAAGACAAUUACACAAAAGCUGUUUGAUCAAAUAAUAUUUUUGUUCAAAGACACACUAAGCUCAAGGUCCUACUCAUACUACUGGUAGAUGUCUAUAAGAUAGCAUUGUCUGAAUGGUUAACUGUAACCUGCUGCGUGUUUCAUUAUUAACUUUACUGAUAAGUUGCGUUUUAGUUACAAGAUGAUACAGAGAUGUGGCUGUUAGUUGUGUGAGGGGGGGACCUCACCUCAAUCUAAAAUGUGUAAUUUAUUGCAUGUUGAAACUAAAAGGCCAAACAGUCCCCAGUCGUUAGAUCAACUGUCAGCAUCUAGAUGAAUUAUGUUGUCCUUGAAGAUUAUAUUGGCUUGGUGUUAAAGAGACUUGGCUGCUGUUGAAGUUCCAUCCACAAAUGGCCCAAGGCAUACUGCUUUUCAACUCAUCUUGUAGGGCUAGAGGCUCUGGAAAAUCACAGUUUUGAUGGAGGCUUACUUUUCAAACAACAAAUCUAUGGAUAGGUGAGAUGUUUGGUCUCUUCUUACUUUCUUCAGUAUUAUCACAGUUGCAGACAUGCAGGUAGGCCACAAGAUGGCCCUCAAACCAUCAGAACAAGUUAUUGGAAUCCAAUGUUGAUCUGCCUCCAGAAAUCUUUAUUUUUCUUUAGAAUUAGUUGGACAAGAAAUUAAAAGUCAAAACAUUUCUGUUUAUUUCAAUUUAUAGUGAGUUAUAUUUGUUUGAGGCAAGUGCAGUGGAGCCUGAGUUGAGGCAUGAGUCGCAAACUCCAUCAACAACAUUUCAUGGGAAUUCCAAUUUCCAAAUUCCAAUGGGUCUGUAAAGAAGGCAUUCGUUACGACCUGGAUGAAGAGCCCAAUAGAAAAAGGCUGAGUAAAUUUUGUACUUUAAUGACAUCCAGGCUAAGUGGUAAGGCCCAUGUAUUUGGGUAAAAAAAAUUAAAAUAGGCGUAUGGGGAGCAUGGAACUGUCCAUCACAGAUGACUAAGGUUAGCUGAGUGCAGAUGCAAGAGAAGUUAGUAUGCUGUAUGCGGACCUUGGGCAUCAGUCACAUAUCUAGUAGAAGAAUGAGAGUAUCGUCAUCUUAGACCAUUGAGUAAUUGAAAAUAACUGAAUGGUGGCCACUGGCCUGUAUACACUAUACAGUUAAACUUCGAUAAAUGAAUAUUCGAUAAGCGAAUAACCUUGCUUAAGUAAUAAAAUUGUU
rnacentral:lncRNA from 1 species